UACGUAGGUGGCAAGCGUUAUCCGGAUUUAUUGGGCGUAAAGGGAACGCAGGCGGUCUUUUAAGUCUGAUGUGAAAGCCUUCGGCUUAACCGGAGUAGUGCAUUGGAAACUGGGAGACUUGAGUGCAGAAGAGGAGAGUGGAACUCCAUGUGUAGCGGUGAAAUGCGUAGAUAUAUGGAAGAACACCAGUGGCGAAAGCGGCUCUCUGGUCUGUAACUGACGCUGAGGUUCGAAAGCGCGGGUAGCAAACAGG
rnacentral:rRNA from 1 species